GACUGGUGACAGCUCAGUUGGUAGAGCGCUCCACCUGUAAUGGAGAGGCCCCGGGUUCGAUACCCGGACCAGGCG
rnacentral:tRNA from 1 species